rnacentral:tRNA from 1 species
GAGUCCAUGGCUCAGUGGUUAGAGCGUUUGACUUCUGAUCAACAUGCCGCAGGUUCGAGCCCCGGGUGGGUCA